CCCCAGGCCCGCAGCCUGCGCUCCCCGAGGGCCGGGACCCCUUUCCCUGGGCUCGCCGUUGGGAGUAAGCAAAUCCGAGAGAACUGGAUAGCAGACCUCUGAAGAGUGCCGAAGGCGGGAGCAGCAUCCCACCCUGAGGUUGCAAAUGAACAAAGGACUGGCAAGAGCUGAGGAUUGCAGUGAGGAGCAUUGGUCUGCCAUGAGGUUCUGAGUGCCGAAGAAUGGUGAUCAGUGCCGUUCAAAGCUGCUGAUGGUGGCAGCUCACCCUGGGAACAGGCUGUUUGUCCAGAGGAUGGUCAGGCAUGCUGCAGCAGGGGGAGAAUUUGAAGUCCCAAGGACCAGUAGUCACCAUCAACUUGGACUCCGAAAACCUAGGCUUCAACAUUUGGUAUAGAAACAGUCUUACCUUGUGCUAAGUAUCAGAGAAGCCACUCUUACCCAUGAGAGGGCCAAGAAAUGGACUUGGCGACCUUUUUGUAGGAAAGCACUUUGGUGUCAUUAAAUUCAUGAGUUUUCUAGUAUUGUCCCUUGCUCAAAAGGAGCUUCUGUGCAUUUUAGUAUUGUAUUUGUUACGUUGGAUAAGGGUCUGAGUUCUUUAAGCUGGAAACUUCCUCCUGAAAUUAAUAUGCAAUUACCAUAAGUUAAUAUUGUAAUAAAGGAUCAUCUCUGGUA